GAUCCUGGCUCAGGAUGAACGCUGGCGGCGUGCCUAAUACAUGCAAGUAGAACGCUGAAGGAAGGAGCUUGCUCUUUCUGGAUGAGUUGCGAACGGGUGAGUAACGCGUAGGUAACCUGCCUAGUAGCGGGGGAUAACUAUUGGAAACGAUAGCUAAUACCGCAUAACAGUAGAUGUUGCAUGACAUUUGCUUGAAAGGGGCAAUUGCUCCACUACCAGAUGG
rnacentral:rRNA from 1 species